CAAGGAAUGAGUUAAAGCAUUCUGAAUUUAUUUGGACCGAAUACUGUAUGGAGUAAAAGAAACAGAGGAGAAGAUUAUAGAGGAUGAAAAACACCUUGAGGAGUUAGUGAAGCAAAAAGCAGAAAUCCAGGAAGAUGCAAAAUGUUGGAACAGCAAAGUCCUGCUAAGGAUCCAGUGGAAUCCAGAAUAUGGAUGGAGGAUUUCUG
rnacentral:lncRNA from 1 species